rnacentral:rRNA from 1 species
UCUGAGCCAAAAAGGGUAAUACAUAUCAGGAAACCUAUACUCUUUGGCGGCCUUAUUUCUUAUUAAAGGAACUUGUCCUAUAAUCGAAAUUACCCGAUCAUUUUCUCUUUUGUCUCGUUUUUAUACCGUCGUCUCAAGAAUAUUGUUAAAUAGAUUAUUCUAAACUGGACAGCCGGGGAAGUCAGAUCAAGGUGAAGCUUGUACAAAAGUUAAGGGUGAGUUAUGCUUAAGUACUACUAAGGGACCUCUCUUAAAAAAGUUAUUCGAAUUAAGAUUCAACAGUACUUAAUAAUCAAAAAUUAUUAGGGAAGAAGUAAAAAAAGGUGU